GGCUGGGUAGCUCAGUGGUAGAGCAGCGGCGUCAUAAUCCGCCGGUCCCGGGUUCGAAUCCCGGCCCAGCCA
rnacentral:tRNA from 1 species